AGUUUCCCUCGAAGUCCAGAUUUAAUUUAGUUUGAAACCAUCAAUUCCCCAACCCAACUUAUACCUCCAAUUUUUCAUUGACCCUUUUAUUCCCACCCCCAAAUCCCUCUUUAUUUUUUUCCUGUCCUCCCUCUUUAGCCUGAUACCAGUUGCUAGUUGUUGGAACUCUCGAGAGAACGAGACCAGGAGGAGACUUCUUAUGAAGGUAAACUAUCCGUCGACUUACAGCCCUAAUCACUUGGGUUUCGAGUUUAGUCAAAUCGAAGGUUAAUCAUGAUGAGAAGCGGUUGAUGAAGACGCAAUCAAAUACUAUAAGGAACGUAAAUUUUCUUUUCUCUAUUUAUUAUCUCUCACUUAUUUUCAUGUAAAUUUCAUCGUUAUCUGCAAGAUUUGUGAAAUUAUCUAACAUUUUUUUAUGUCUAUCUAUGAGAAUAGCAUUGUUAUUUAUUUUACCAAGAUGUGGCAACUCUAUAACUAUUUGCAAAAAUGGCUAAAUUGGGUAAGUUUUUCAAAUGGCCACAACCAUAUUUGAUUUAUUUCAUAAUCAAAAUAGUGAAAACCAAAGUUCUGCAGUUAUUGAUGAAGAAAGCACGAACCAAAUUAGUUUAAUGUUUAAUGAAAUACUUUGGUGAUGAUGUUAUAUUUUUUUGAUUUUGUUGCAGCUUGUUUUUGGGAAUUUAAAGUGCCUAAGAUCUUUCCUCCUUGUAUUCUUCUCACUUGUCUUCACGGUGAAUAGUUCAUAUGAAUCUUCAACAUUUGUAAUUAUUUCAUCACUUACUACUAGGGAUUAGCAUUUGGUACCGGUAUUUACAGGUAAAACACCGGUAAGUACCGGUACCGUACUGGUACUGGUACCGGUACCGAACCUGUAUAUUCGUACCAUUACCACUUUUUCCCAUUUUUCGGUACCGGUACUCGUUCGGUACCGAACGGGCACCCUGCUCAUCCCUACUUACUACAACCCUUGAGUUGAGUACUGGAUUAUUCAAGAAAAGUGGUACUGGUAGGGCUGUAAGUGGAGCCUAGUUAUCACAUUGCUAGGGUUUAGGUUUAGUAAUGUACAAUAAUCUAACAUUUCAGAAAAGAUAUAAUCUCAGAUAGGCUCCACAUUGCUAGGGUUUAGGUUCCAUGGUUGACUUAAUCAAAUGAGGAGCAAUGCGUUUGUUAAAGGCCUGAAUUUUAAUAUGUUUCAUGUCGUCACAUUAUUCGAUUAACAAGAUAUUUUAGUAUGCAGAUCUAUGAGGUGGUUACAAUCGCUUGAUUACUAUUUGUUUAAAAAGUGAUAACUUUGGUAUUGAUGUGUUAUUAACAGUGAUGUGUUAAUUUAUCAGUACCAGUGAGGAAUAAACGACGGAGUAGGCCGGAACGAGAGAAAAUAGAGAAACAUGAUAUGAUGAAGAAAAUUGAAGAAACUUGAGGUUACAUCCUUAAAUGAAUAAGAGAUUUCAAUUGUAAAUAAUAUAUGCCAAGUUUCUACCAAGUUUGGAUAUGGGUUUAUGUUAGUAAACACAUUAUUUUGAAUAUUGAAUGUAUUCCUUUUGGUUAAUUUGUAUCUUUAUUCUGUUAUUGUUUA